AGCUGUCGCACCUGGCUUUCCCGCCUUGGAUGGGCAUCAAAUGACUUCUGUUGAUUAAUGGCAGCCAGUCAACAGGGGUGGGUAAUGGAAAGGGUUGGUGUGGAGGAUCUAUUGCCAGGCUCAGGAUGAACCGAUGGACCGAUAGACCAAUGGACCAAUGGACCCAGGAACUCAGGAACCCAGGAAUCCCUAGGCCUGCUUCUGCAAGAGCCACUACGCCUUACCCUCGCCACGAUGGAAGAUAGCCAGGGUCCCAUCUGCAAGAGCUACCAGCACUCGGCCUUUGACAUGCCUGGAAUGGUAAGUCAGUGAGGUAGGCUGAGGCUGCUGGGCCCUUGGGUCCCUGACCCCACCCCUUAGUGGGGGCCACAUACACCAGGCUCAGCACCGAGUCUUUUAGCUUGAUGGAGUGCAGACACUUCUUCCAGUUGGCUACUGCUGAAUGCACGUAGAGCCUGUAGGGCAAGGCAGGUGGGCAGAGCUUACAUAGUUCAUUGAGCCCUCCCACCCCACCAUGUCCCGUGUCUUGUGUCUUUGGCUUUGCCUACCAGCCAUUCUGGGCUCCUAGCCACAUGGUGGGUGCAGCACUACUGGUGGUUGCUGAGGGCUCCCCACUGGGCUCCACCUGAGGCUGAACAACGCUGCCAUCGGGCUCUGGCCCAUUCUCACUGCAAGAGGAACGGCAGCUGUAGCUACAGUGUGGGUCACAGCGGCAUGUGCUUGCUCCCUGCCAGCCUCCCUUCCACUCAUCUGAUGCAACCUACCUGACAGGCUGGGUGCUGGAGGGCGGGGUAGGUGCCAGGUCAGUGAAGACAUGCUCUGUGAGGGGCCCGGGCCGAACUGUGGUUGCUUCUGGCUCACUGGGACCAGGGUCUGGAACCUCUGUGGCUUCUGUGGCUUCUUCUGUGGAUUGGGAUGGGUUUACUUUCCCAUUGGCAGUGGUUGCCACAUCCCCUGUGGAAAGAGAAGUAAGCUUGGCAAGGCAGAGAAAGAGGAAUUUGGGGAUAGGGAGAAGACCAUCUGGGACUCACCCUGCCCUUUGUCCAGUACUGGAGUGUCUCCUCGGGAGGAACAGUUGCUUCGAGGUACGUUGCAGCGGGUAGCACACCCCACCAGAGUGAUGCCAGCCAGCACACCGUCGGCACCUGAGUCUUCAGUGUUCACAUCACUGUCUAAGAACAUCUCCCCAGGGGGGUAGUCACUGUCGCUGGCCGCUGGGGGGAAAUAUAAGAACUGUCUGCUUUGCUGGCUCUGCUCUCAGUUAGCCUAGUCUCCACACACGGCAACACCUGGCCCUCUACUCUCAGGCCUAGGGUCAAGCUUAUAGGUUGAAAGGAAUUAACUGAGAAAUAAUGUUCUGCUCCAUUAUACAAAAGAUCCAGAACUCCAAGGAGUAGAGGCCAUCUCAGCAAAUAGGUAAGGUUUCAAAGCAAAGACCUGUGGAGCCCUCAGCACUAUCCUGGGGCUGGGCUAAGGGGUCGUGGGGCUGCUGCUAAGGGGUGAAGCUAGGACCUUCGCCUGUACCCUGGACAGCUUCCUCCUAGAACAUGGAGAAAGAUGACUUGACAUACUCUCUAUGCACAUUCCUGGGUCUCUAAUUCCUAUUUACUCAGUAUCCCAGUCCUACCUGGCUGAAAAGGAAGAGCCACUGCCUCAAGCACCAGCUUUGAAGGGCAGUCCAUAGGCAGCAAGUGCCUGCUGUUAGAGAGCACCUGGCAAUGGGAGCCCCAACUCACCAGGGAUGCUGGAGAUACACAGGACGUGGGCAUUGCAGACUGUGAAUUGAUCCACAACAGUGCCUGGUUGGUUGGCAUCAAUGAUCACCACUUUACUGGUGGUCAGGGUGCUGGUGAGUAUCCAUACCCGACUGGAGGUAGCAUCUGCCUCAGAGACCUCCUUUGCCUGUUCCAGAACACAUCGGAGGGAGAUCAAAGCUGGUGCCUGAACUUGGUGUUAAGUCAGGGAUCUCUGGGACUUCCUACGAUCUAGCCUUGAAUAUGGAAAUCAAUGGAUGCAGUUAUCUUCCCCUACAGACUACAGAACUGUAUCUUGAUGGUUCAUUCCCAAGAAGCUAUGAACUUGGAGAGGCUACUCUUGUGGGCCCUAAGUUAAGCUGUGGCUGUGCUCUAGCUUCACAGCAAAUCACCGGGCCUCUCCUGUGAGCAGGAGAUACCUACUUCUCUGUAUGACACAAGAUAUGCCUGGCUCUCCCAAGCCUGACCUCUGUUGACCAAGGGCAGCAGACAGUCCUACUGCUCCAUAAGCCGAAAGGCAACCUGGACUACAGGAGAGGCAACAACAGUAUCUUGGAUGCUGGUAGCACCUGCUUCCUCACCCAGACUUGUCACCAAGGUAUGUGGUCACUUUCAGCCAGAACCUACAGGGAACUAUCUAGAGACUUUAUGUAGAAUAAAACCACAUUCUUAACCAA